GACGAACGCUGGCGGCGUGCUUAACACAUGCAAGUCGAACGGAAAGGCUCCAGCUUGCUGGAGUACUCGAGUGGCGAACGGGUGAGUAACACGUGGGUAAUCUGCCCUGCACUCUGGGAUAAGCCUGGGAAACUGGGUCUAAUACUGGAUAUGACCUUUCUCCUUAUGGGGUUUGGUGGAAAGUUUUUCGGUGUAGGAUGAGCCCGCGGCCUAUCAGCUUGUUGGUGGGGUGAUGGCCUACCAAGGCGACGACGGGUAGCCGGCCUGAGAGGGUGAUCGGCCACAUUGGGACUGAGAUACGGCCCAGACUCCUACGGGAGGCAGCAGUGGGGAAUAUUGCACAAAGGGCGGAAGCCUGAUGCAGCGACGCCGCGUGAGGGAUGACGGCCUUCGGGUUGUAAACCUCUUUCAGCAGGGACGAAGCGUAAGUGACGGUACCUGCAGAAGAAGCACCGGCUAACUAUGUG
rnacentral:rRNA from 1 species